rnacentral:rRNA from 1 species
AUUGAACGCUGGCGGCAGGCCUAACACAUGCAAGUCGAGCGGAUGAAGGGAGCUUGCUCCUGGAUUCAGCGGCGGACGGGCGGGUAAUGCAUAGGAAUAUGCCUGGUAGUGGGGGAUAACGUCCGGAAACGGGCGCUAAUACCGCAUACGUCCUUAGGGAGAAAGUGUGGGAUCUUCGGACCUUACGCUAUCAGCUGAUCCUAGGUCGGAUUAGCUAGUUGGUGGGGUAAAGGCCUACCAAGGCGACGAUCCGUAACUGGUCUGAGAGGAUGAUCAGUCACACUGGAACUGAGACACGGUCCAGACUCCUACGGGAGGCAGCAGUGGGGAAUAUUGGACAAUGGGCGAAAGCCUGAUCCAGCCAUGCCGCGUGUGUGAAGAAGGUCUUCGGAUUGUAAAGCACUUUAAGUUGGGAAGAAGGGCAGUAAGUUAAUACCUUGCUGUUUUGACGUUACCAACAGAAAAAGCACCGGCUAACUUCGUG